rnacentral:misc_RNA from 1 species
GCGAAUUGUCAACGAGAUCUGUUUGUGCUCCCCGGACGGGGGCAUGUGCACGCUUUGUUUACACAUCCACUCACACCUGUGCACCCUCCGUAGUUCUAUGGCCUGGGUGGGCUCUGCCCUCCUGGCGUGGCUCUAUGUCUUUACACACACACUACAAUGAAGUCUUAUGGAAUGUAUGUCGCGUUUAACGCAAUGAAAUAC